AACGAACGCUGGCGGCAGGCUUAACACAUGCAAGUCGAGCGCCCCGCAAGGGGAGCGGCGGACGGGUGAGUAACGCGUGGGAACGUGCCCUCUUCUACGGAAUAGCCUCGGGAAACUGAGAUUAAUGCCGUAUACGCCCGAAAGGGGAAAGAUUUAUCGGAGGAGGAUCGGCCCGCGUUGGAUUAGGUAGUUGGUGGGGUAAUGGCCUACCAAGCCGACGAUCCAUAGCUGGUUUGAGAGGAUGAUCAGCCACACUGGGACUGAGACACGGCCCAGACUCCUACGGGAGGCAGCAGUGGGGAAUCUUGGACAAUGGGGGAAACCCUGAUCCAGCCAUGCCGCGUGAUCGAUGAAGGCCUUAGGGUUGUAAAGAUCUUUCAGCUGGGAAGAUAAUGACGGUACCAGCAGAAGAAGCCCCGGCUAACUCCGUGCCAGCAGCCGCAGUAAUAC
rnacentral:rRNA from 1 species